ACACGUAUGAAAGACAAGCUGAAAGACUUUUCUCAAUGAUGUAAGUGGUGGUGCAUGGUCGUUCUUAGUUCGUGGAUUGAUUUGUCUGGUCUAUUCCGAUAACGAGCGAGAUCCUAGCGUUCUUAAUAGAGGUUUUAGCCCAGUUUCUCGAGCAAUCGUUUUACUAGCUAUAACUUAUAAACUUCUUAGACGUAUCAGAGCCGAUAAGGUUCUUGAAAUGGGUUAAUAACAGGUCAGUCAUGCCCUUAGAUGUUCUGGGCCGCACGCGCGUUACAAUGGUAAACUCAGAAAGUGCCUAUUAUGGGUCUAUCCGUAACCUAACGGUUUCGGUAAACAUUAGUCUUUUCCUUGACUGGGCUAGACUAUUGUAAUUAUUGGUCUUCAACGAGGAAUUUUUAGUAGUCACAGGUCAUUAACCUGUGACGA
rnacentral:rRNA from 1 species